rnacentral:lncRNA from 1 species
GAGCUUGUUCGUUGAAAUUUUACAUCAGAUACGACAGUCCAAAGAACUAUAUAAUGCUGUACCGUAUCUCGCAUUUCUUGCAUCAACAAAGGUUGCAUCUUUUCCAGUUGUUUGUGUCAGGAAAAUUGAAACAGAAACAGCUAAGGUGGUGUAAUCUAAAGGAAUAAUAGUUGUGUAGAUGACGAGUAUCUCCCCAAAAAAUGGCCC